UACGGGGGGAGCAAGCGUUGUUCGGAUUUACUGGGCGUAAAGGGCGCGUAGGCGGCGCAACAAGUCACUUGUGAAAUCUCCGGGCUUAACCCGGAGCGGCCAAGUGAUACUGUCGUGCUAGAGUGCGGAAGGGGCUACUGGAAUUCUCGGUGUAGCGGUGAAAUGCGUAGAUAUCAGGAGGAACACCGGUGGCGAAGGCGGGAUCCUGGGCCAGUACUGACGCUGAGGAGCGAAAGCGUGGGGAGCAAACAGG
rnacentral:rRNA from 1 species